UUAACACAAUGUUCCAAUCUUUCACACAAAAAUACCAAUAAAAAAUAAAAAUUCCAUCAACCAAGCUCUUGCUUCCUAUUCUAAAUAUACAUGACUUGUAAUUCUAACAACAAACAGUUAGAAUCAGAAAAAAAAAAUAAUAGCCUA